rnacentral:rRNA from 1 species
AGAGUUUGAUCCUGGCUCAGGAUGAACGCUAGCGGCAGGCUUAACACAUGCAAGUCGAGGGGCAGCAUAAUGGAUAGCAAUAUCUAUGGUGGCGACCGGCGCACGGGUGCGUAACGCGUAUGCAACCUACCUUUAACAGGGGCAUAACACUGAGAAAUUGGUACUAAUUCCCCAUAACAUUCGAGAAGGCAUCUUCUUGGGUUAAAAACUCCGGUGGUUAAAGAUGGGCAUGCGUUGUAUUAGCUAGUUGGUGAGGUAACGGCUCACCAAGGCAACGAUACAUAGGGGGACUGAGAGGUUAACCCCCCACAUUGGUACUGAGACACGGACCAAACUCCUACGGGAGGCAGCAGUGAGGAAUAUUGGUCAAUGGACGCAAGUCUGAACCAGCCAUGCCGCGUGCAGGAAGACGGCUCUAUGAGUUGUAAACUGCUUUUGUACGAGGGUAAACGCUCUUACGUGUAAGAGCCUGAAAGUAUCGUACGAAUAAGGAUCGGCUAACUCCGUGCCAGCAGCCGCGGUAAUACGGAGGAUCCAAGCGUUAUCCGGAUUUAUUGGGUUUAAAGGGUGCGUAGGCGGUUUGAUAAGUUAGAGGUGAAAUACCGGUGCUCAACACCGGAACUGCCUCUAAUACUGUUGAACUAGAGAGUAGUUGCGGUAGGCGGAAUGUAUGGUGUAGCGGUGAAAUGCUUAGAGAUCAUACAGAACACCGAUUGCGAAGGCAGCUUACCAAACUAUAUCUGACGUUGAGGCACGAAAGCGUGGGGAGCAAACAGGAUUAGAUACCCUGGUAGUCCACGCAGUAAACGAUGAUAACUCGUUGUCGGCGAUACACAGUCGGUGACUAAGCGAAAGCGAUAAGUUAUCCACCUGGGGAGUACGUUCGCAAGAAUGAAACUCAAAGGAAUUGACGGGGGCCCGCACAAGCGGAGGAACAUGUG